CAGUCUACGCCGUAAACGAUGGAUACUAGUUGUUUGGCUUUCGGGCUGAGUGACUAAGCGAAAGUGAUAAGUAUCCCACCUGGGGAGUACGUUCGCAAGAAUGAAACUCAAAGGAAUUGACGGGGGCCCGCACAAGCGGUGGAGCAUGUGGUUUAAUUCGAUGAUACGCGAGGAACCUUACCAGGGCUUAAAUGUAGUCUGACAGCUUUAGAGAUAGAGUUUUCUUCGGACAGAUUACAAGGUGCUGCAUGGUUGUCGUCAGCUCGUGCCGUGAGGUGUCGGGUUAAGUCCUAUAACGAGCGCAACCCCUGUUGUUAGUUGCCAGCGAGUAAUGUCGGGAACUCUAGCAAGACUGCCGGUGCAAACCGCGAGGAAGGUGGGGAUGACGUCAAAUCAUCACGGCCCUUACGUCCUGGGCCACACACGUGCUACAAUGCCCAGCACAAUGUGAACCGAGACCGCGAGGUGAGGAAAUCUCAAAAACUGGGCUCAGUUCGGA
rnacentral:rRNA from 1 species